UCUCUCUCGCUCUCGUCUUCUCCUCUUCAGAUUGACAACAAGGAUAAGGAGCAAAGAAAGGGUGAUGACAGUGAUGUGGACAGUGAGAAAGACAAGGCUGAGAAGAAAGACAAGGAGAAGCAGGAGGACAACAUCAGCAAAAAGUCAAAGAAUGAAGUGAACAAGGUU